rnacentral:tRNA from 1 species
AUGGCUCAGUGGUAGAGUGCCUGCCUGGCAUGCAUGAGGCCCUGGGUUCGAUCCCCAGU